AACGAACGCUGGCGGCAGGCUUAACACAUGCAAGUCGAACGCAUCGCAAGAUGAGUGGCAGACGGGUGAGUAACGCGUGGGAAUCUACCCAGUUCUACGGAACAACAGUUGGAAACGACCGCUAAUACCGUAUACGCCCUACGGGGGAAAGAUUUAUCGGAAUUGGAUGAGCCCGCGUAAGAUUAGCUAGUUGGUGGGGUAAUGGCCUACCAAGGCGACGAUCUUUAGCUGGUCUGAGAGGAUGAUCAGCCACACUGGGACUGAGACACGGCCCAGACUCCUACGGGAGGCAGCAGUGGGGAAUAUUGGACAAUGGGCGCAAGCCUGAUCCAGCCAUGCCGCGUGAGUGAUGAAGGCCUUAGGGUUGUAAAGCUCUUUCACCGAUGAAGAUAAUGACGGUAGUCGGAGAAGAAGCCCCGGCUAACUUCGUGCCAGCCGCCGCGGUAAAAC
rnacentral:rRNA from 1 species